UAGGGCACUUUCAGCUGUGAGUCCCAUAAUGGGGGGUGCUGGCUAACAGGUUAAAUAAAAAAAAAAUCAUAUUUUCUGUACACAAACAAGCUAAUUGCACAUUCAUAAAGUGAUUGUUCUGUCUCUGUGAAUAUUACACAUUUGACCCGACUGACAAGAUCAGAAUAACAAUAAACAAUAAAAAAUACUUUUUAUGGAAUAAUCAGUUUAAUACAAAAAAUAAAAAUAAAAAAAAAUAAAAAAAUAACAACACAUAAUGUAAUAUACAGCGACAGUCCACAUCACAUUAGUUUGUUUGUUCUGUAUGUUUUUGUAGGUUGUCUGGCUGUAUGGUGACAGAGGAGGGAUGUUGUUAUGUGUCUUCAGCUCUGACUUCAAACCCCUCAUGCUUGAGAGAGCUAGAUCUAAGCUAUAAUCACCCUGGAGAUUCAGGAGUCAAGAUGCUCUCUGAAAAACUGGAGGAUCCAAACUGCUCACUGGAUAAAUUCAAUGUGGAUCAUGGAGGAGAAUCCAUGAUGACAGCAGGACUAAAGAAAUAAAAAGAGUAAACAUGCUCUGACUCAUAACACUUGCACAUGUGGAAGAAAACGGCCGGUGCGCUACAGAUCACACAAUUCAAUG